rnacentral:rRNA from 1 species
AUUGAACGCUGGCGGCAUGCUUUACACAUGCAAGUCGGACGAGUGGCGAACGGGUGAGUAACGUAUCGGAACGUACCGAGUAGUGGGGGAUAACUGUCCGAAAGGACAGCUAAUACCGCAUACUAUUCGAGCGGCCGAUGUCGGAUUAGCUGGUUGGCGGGGUAAAGGCCCACCAAGGCGACGAUCAGUAGCGGGUCUGAGAGGAUGAUCCGCCACACUGGGACUGAGACACGGCCCAGACUCCUACGGGAGGCAGCAGUGGGGAAUAUUGGACAAUGGGCGCAAGCCUGAUCCAGCCAUGCCGCGUGUCUGAAGAAGGCCUUCGGGUUGUAAAGUACUUUUAGCAGGGAGGCGGUACCUGAAGAAGAAGCACCGGCUAACUACGUGCCAGCAGCCGCGGUAAUUC